CUUUCUGUACUUUUAAUUCAAGGGCUUGCAGAGCGUGAGACAGGCCCCUUUCAUAUAUGCUUAAAAGCAGGGAAGCAACACUUACUUAGUAACCCAAAGAAAAUAGGCCCUUCUACUCCUAUUGAGAAAGAUCGACUCGACUUAUAUUUGAAAGAGCAACCUGGCAGUGUUGAAAUUCAAAUCCUUGGAGACGAAGAGGAACAGCUUGGCAGUGCUCUUUACAACUUUGACAGCUCUGAUUACAAAUUACCGAUAACUUCCUGGAUCUCGCUCCACGAAAAGGGUUCUUUCGCUGGAAAAUUGCAACUUCAAAUAAAUGUUACGCAUGUAAACUUUGCGAAUCCUUCGGAAGUAGAAUAUGCAAAAUAUAUAGGAUUACUUUCUCUUCGCCUUGGAUAUUUCAGGGGGUUAGAGGGCAAAAGCAACCAAGCCACGAAUUCUCAGUUCAUUCUUAGGCACGGAUUCUCUGCCUUUAGAACUCGGGUUGUCGCCGGC